GCGCCCCGUAGCGGGGAACUCUGGUUCCGCGCUCUAGGCAGCCGCUCAGCUCCCUGAGCAGGUGUCCCGGGCCUGGUCCUCGGCAGGAGGCUCGCACAGGCGACACGCCCCGGGACGGCCCUUUUGUCGGUGUCUCUUUAUCCUCCUUUAUUCCUGGUCGCUAGGUCUAAGUAGGUUCUAAGUCUCAGGACUGAUGCAGAAUGGCCGCGCUGCUGAAGAAAGCGCGCAGCUUCUGCAGAGCCCGGUCGCCAUGGCUGCUGUUGACAGCUUCUACCUCUUGUACAGGGAAAUCGCCAGGUCUUGCAAUUGCUACAUGGAAGCCUUGGCCUUGGUGGGAGCCUGGUACACAGCCCGAAAGAGCAUCACCGUCAUCUGUGACUUCUACAGCCUGGUCAGGCUGCACUUCAUCCCUCGCCUGGGGAGCAGGCCCGACCUGAUCAAGCAGUAUGGAAGAUGGGCGGUCAUCAGUGGGGCCACCGAUGGCAUUGGGAAGGCCUAUGCGGAGGAGUUAGCGAGCCACGGACUCAAUGUCAUCCUGAUCAGCCAGGAAGAGGAGAAGCUGCAGGCCGCGGCCAAGCACAUAGCCGACACCUACAGGGUAGAGACGCUUGUCCUGGUGGCAGACUUCAGCAGAGGCCGGGAGAUUUACGCCCCCAUCCGAGAAGCCCUGAGAGACAGAGACAUUGGCAUCCUGGUGAACGACGUGGGUGCAUUCUACCCCUACCCUCAGUAUUUCAGCCAGGUGCCCGAGGACACGCUCUGGGACAUCGUGAACGUGAACAUCGCAGCCGCCAGCCUGAUGGUGCACAUCGUGCUGCCAGGGAUGGUGGAGAGAAAGAAGGGCGCCAUCGUCACCGUGUCUUCUGGUUCCUGCUGCAAGCCCACCCCACAGCUGGCUGCCUUCUCUGCGUCCAAGGUGGAGACAGGCAAGCCUCUCUGCUCCUGGGGUUGCUUUCAAGUUCCUUCCAGGUCAUAAGUCCUCCUCCUCUGCCCCCCAGGCCUAUCUGGACCACUUCAGCCGAGCCCUGCAGUACGAGUAUGCCUCUAAGGGGAUCUUUGUGCAGAGCCUGAUCCCCUUCUACGUGACCAGCAGCGGGGCUGCGCCCGCCAGCUUCCUGCACAGAUGCCCGUGGCUGGCGCCGUCGCCGAGAGUGUAUGCACAGCAUGCAGUGUCGACCCUGGGCAUUUCAAAAAGGACCACAGGCUACUGGUCCCAUUCCAUUCAGUUCCUCUUCGCACAGUAUAUGCCCGAGUGGCUCUGGGUGUGGGGUGCAAACCUCCUCAACCGCUCCUUACGGAAAGAGGCCUUAUCCUGCCAAGCCUGAGCCAGGAGGCUGGGGAGAAGCUUGGUUAAGCCACGGUCACCUACGGUUUCUGGCGUUUGGAAGAACACAUUCACUCCACCUGUGUAUCGUCUCCUACCAAGUCCCUAGUGCAUCGCCAUCCUUCAUGAGGCCGACUGUUACGUCUGUGAGCAAACCUCAGGGACCACAUGGUUGGCCCAGGGCGCAUGGCCAUGAAGCCUGAGGACAGAACGGGCUGCUUCCUCAACACUUGGAGCGUGACCAGCUCGCUCCUGUAUUGUCCGUCUUGUGCUGGUCUUUUUCUUUUUCUUUCUUUCUUUUUUUUUUUUUUUUGAGAAGUCACCUGUUUUCCUUUUACAGGUGACUGAUUAUAGUAUUGGCUUUCAAGAUGUUCCUCAGGCUGGGCGUGGGGGCUCACGCCUUUAAUGCCAGCACUUGGGAGCUUGAGACAGGCCUGGGCUACAUAGUGAGUUCCAGGCCAGCCAGGGACAUGCAGUUAAACCUGUCCUUGAAAAAAAAAUUAAUGUUCAUCAGGAAGACAACAGAAAAGUGUUAUUUUCAAACUGUGAACUGGGAGUGCAGGUGUUAACAGUAGACAUGUGUCAUGCUGCAUAGCUCCAUGGGGGGUGUCUGUGUGUACACACUGCCUUUCCCUAAGGUCCCUUAGAACCAUGUGUGUGCUGUGUGUCUGGGUGAAGUUAUCGAUAAGACUUUACAGUAGACUCUGCCAAGACGAGGUUAUGAGGGAGCCCUUCCCAGAGUAAACGCCUGGGCUACUCCCUUUCAUGUGCUGAAAGACUUUCAGGCUCUACGCUGUGUGGGCUUGCCAUGUCCUACGACAUUGUUUCUUUGAGUACUUUUGUCUUUCCCACUCUGUAGGUGGGUUUUGUUGCUAGGCUGGGACACAUAAUAGGUUGUCUUUGGAUGUACCUAAGUGGUGGUUCCUCACUGAGUCCGUGUUCUAUCUGACCCCCUUCAGAGCUUGUUAGAGCUGGCUUUCAUACACUUUUCUAUGUAAUCCAAUUUCUCCCCAGGAGCGUUGUUGAUAAAAUCAUCACGUGUUUGUGGAAUAGUGGUUGAAAUAUGGGCAGCUUUUGUGCGUGGUAUAAGGUAGUUAUUGAAGUGAUGUUAGCUCGUUUUUAGCCUGUGUGAUGAAUGUGUACAUUGUAGGGAAUGCUUUUAUUAGCGUGAGGGUCCUUUACGUAUAUCCCACAAUAUGGGGGCACACUGAAACUUAGUGGCUUUCGUUGGUUUAUAAAACCAACCUCUUGGGAGGGUCUCAUACCCAGCACGUGGAAGCUUGGAAGUCAUGGCAGCUUGUGCAGAGUGGAGGAUGUGGCGUUGCCCCUUGUGGUGCUGCGCUGUGCCUGGGAAGUGAGAAUGAGCGGCACGCUGGGACUUGGAUGGAGUUGCUUUAGUGACAUCCCAUCACCUGUAGGCCCAAGUGCACUUUGCCCAGGACAUCAGAUGUGCCAUUUUAAGUUGUGACUCAGAUCUAGAUCAGUGUCUUCAUGUCCUCAGAUCAUGGGCAGACUACCAUGCUUGGAGACAGAGGAGGAGGAGCCUCGGCGGGGACGGCUACCUUACUGCUGAGAACCUUCGUGCAUGUGAUAGGCGGCAGUACCUCCACCUGAGACCUAAUCACGCAUGGUGAUUAGGGAGGAAGGCAGGAGACUGAGGGGUUCAAGGCCAGCAUGGGCUAUAUAGUGAAACUCUGGUUCAGGAAACAAAAACAGCAGCAGAGACGCACUGUCCGCUCUGUGUAAGGUCCUGUGGCCCAGUAUUCAGACUUGUCUAUCAAGUGCGGAGUCCUUGCUCCAUGAUGAGGAGUCAGUGAUGUUCUCUCAGCAGGACUCAGCUAGAACUCGGAGCACAGUGAUCCGUGGCUGCAGCAGAAGACUCGAAUCAGGCACCUUUAGGCUUCCUAGCUCUCAUAGGCAGACCCUCUCUGCUGAGCUAGUCUGCCUGCCCACUGUGGACAUGGCUUUUUACCAAGGAAGGAGGAACUCGGAACCUUUGUAACUCAUCCUGUGAAUCAGAACGUAACAAUAAAAGCAUCACUGUUUCCUUCAGGUCCCGCCA